CAUUUUUCCCAGUCUUAGAAGAUCAAAAUGGGUUUAAGCAUGCAGGAGCCUAGAGGUGUAAAAGCACUGAUUUUCCAAGUAACCCACACUGCGAGGUCUGCUUAAAUAUUUGAGCACUGAGUCACCUGUACUUAAAAGAGAGCAAUUAAGGAAACUAAAUAUGUUCUUGAAGGGCUGAAUAAUUCCUUCACAUCUGUUUCCACUACAAAGAUGGCUCUGGAGGGGCUCACGCAGAUCUUGCCCUUUUCUGGACCAAGAGAAAAUAGCAUCAGAGACUGAGAGAGGAGCAGCUGGGACAACCAGACUGUGCUUUGCGCAAGUUCACGUUCAAGACGUGGCUGCAGGCAUCCGGCUAACAGUGGAGGAAGUGGCUUAUCUCUGUGGCUCUGACACCCGCUAGGAUGUGGGCAGAAAUGUGCUGAAGCUGCAGUGAGGCUCAAGGAGGAGGAGAGGCAGGUGGAAGACCUGAAGGAGGAAGCAAGGGAUUCAGCUGGAGGGCAGAAAGAAAAGGAGCUGACAGGAAGGGGUUCCUGUGCCAAGGAUGGUGCCAUAAAGAGGUUUUCUGCCGCUCCUGAGUUUCCCAAGUUGCUUCAAGUUCCUCAGUUUUGGCUGAGGUUGUGGGCUUACAUUUUGCAGCAGCCC